UACAGAGGGUGCAGCGUUAAUCGGAAUUACUGGGCGUAAGGCGUGACGCAGACGGUUGCGUAAGUCAGAUGUGAAAGCCCCGGGCUCAACCUGGGAAUUGCAUUUGAGACUGCGUAGCUAGGGUGCGGAAGAGGGAAGCGGAAUUUCCGGUGUAGCGGUGAAAUGCGUAGGAUAUCGGAAGGAACACCAGUGGCGAAAGCGGCUUCCUGGUCCAGC
rnacentral:rRNA from 1 species